rnacentral:snRNA from 1 species
GGAUGUGAGGGCGAUCUGGCUGCGACAUCUGUCACCCCAUUGAUCGCCAGGGUUGAUUUGGCUGAUCUGGCCAGCUAGGCGGGUGUCCCCUUCCUCCCUCACCGCUCCAUGUGCGUCCCUCCCGAAGCUGCGCGCUGGGUCGAAGAGGACGACCUUCCCCGAUAGAGGAGGACCGUUCUUCUGUCAAGGGUAUUCGAGUAGCUGCGCUCCCCUGCUAGAACCUCCAAACAAGCUCUCAAGGUCCGUUUGUAGGAGAACGUAGGGUAGUCAAGCUUCCAAGACUCCAGACACAUCCAAAU